AUUGAACGCUGGCGGCAGGCUUAACACAUGCAAGUCGAGCGGGGGGAGUUGCUUCGGUAACUAACCUAGCGGCGGACGGGUGAGUAAUGCGUAGGAAGCUGCCUAUUAAUGGGGGACAACAUCUCGAAAGGGAUGCUAAUACCGCAUACGCCAUACGGGGGAAAGGAGGGGAUCUUCGGACCUUGCGUUAAUAGAUGAGCCUAAGUCGGAUUAGCUAGUUGGUGGGGUAAAGGCCUACCAAGGCGACGAUCUGUAGAAGGUCUGACGAGGAUGAGCCGCCACACUGGGACUUAGACACGGCCCAGACUCCUACGGGAGGCAGCAGUGGGGAAUAUUGGACAAUGGGGGGAACCCUGAUCCAGCCAUGCCGCGUGUGUGAAGAAGGCCUUAUGGUUGUAAAGCACUUUAAGCGAGGAGGAGGCUUCUUUGGUUAAUACCCAAAGUAAGUGGACGUUACUCGCAGAAUAAGCACCGGCUAACUCUGUGCCAGCAGCCGCCGUAACAC
rnacentral:rRNA from 1 species